AGGGAGGAGGGGUGGGAGGGUGGUCGAGGUGUAAGGAUGUGGGGUAGUGUCUUUGGGGAAAGGGGUUCCGUUAGAAUUUCCGCUCUGGGGCAUGAGGGGUCUGCGGGGCAAGCCGCAUAGCGUCCUGAGGAGACGCCGCAAGGCCCGGCGCCGGAGCGCCCGAGGCCGGGCCCGGGUCCACGGGUGGUCGCACCUGGACCGAGGAAGCAGAGGGGCACAGAUGCUGCGAGAAAAUGUGUGGGUGCCCUGGAACGGGCUCAUUGUGAUUGGGAAGAGAAUGGAGCUCCUGGGUAGAAAUACCCAAAAGCCUCCAGUGGGCGACCCAAAGCUUGACCCUCAGCACUGGAGACCGGAAGAUGUGGGAAAAGUGGUCUUGAAAGCAAAGUCAGGCCAGAGUCCGGAAAGGACGGAUAUGAAGUUAGUGCACGGUGUAGCAAGUUCAUUACAGGCUCCAGCAGGUUUGGGGGAAAACAGCCCAAAGGAGAUGGGGGGGAAACAAGAAAUUCGAGACAAAAUAGGCGCGGAGUCUGAGAGUGCAGAGACUACAGCAGGGUCUAGGAAGGGGUCUGGCUUUAAAGAGAGGUUGAAAUUUAGUGGGGUGGGGAUCAGAGGAGAGGACCUGAGAUCCGGACCACAUACACCAGAGCAGAAUGAGGAGGAGCUGAGGUCGAGUGGAGAGCAGCUGAGUGGAGAGAAGCCUAGGUCAAGUGAAGAACAGCUGAGGUCAAGUGGAGAGCAGCUGAGUGGAGAGAAGUUGACCUCAAGUGAGAAGCUGAGUCUGAGUGAAGAGAAGCUGAGGUCAAGUGGAGAGAAGGAGGGCUCCAGGGAAGAGAAGCCAGAAAGUAGCAGAGAGGAUUUGAGAUCCACUGGAGAUAAACUGUCAAGUGCAGACAAGCUGGAGGGUUCAGGGAUGGAGAGUGUAACUGAAGAGACAACUGAAAGAGAGCUAGAAGUGACUAAUGAUGAAAAACAGAGGAAAAUUACCGAUGCUGAGAUGGAAAAUCCUUUUGAAAGGGUGGAAGGGAGUGAUGAGCUACAAGAGACUGAGGAAGCAGUGGGAGUUGAGAAGGAUGUCUUGGGCGGAGUGAAUGAUCCUCCUGAGGAAUCUGUUUCUAUUGAAGAGAAAGAGGUUACAGAUGAAGGUGAUGAUGAGUGAGGCCGAUGAAGGAGUGGAGCUAGCGAAGGAAACAGAGACAGCGGAAGUGAUGAAAGUCAAGGAGGAGAAAUUAGAGCCAAGCAGAGAGGUACUGACUGUGAAGAAGUAAAUAUAAGAGAAGAAAGGAGAGGCUGGGAAUGAAGAGCUUUUGAGGAUGGAGGUGGAGGCUAGGGCCAAAGGAAAUGAAGAAGAAUGAGAACAAGGGGAAUGAGAAGAUUUCAAGGAGAAAAAAAAAAAAAAAAGAUCUGAUAAUGUGUUGCUACCUGGAGGAAAUAUGGAGAUUGUUCUCUUGGAGAAGAGCUGUGACUGACGGGCUUGUUGGGAAAUGUUUGAGAAAUGGAUUUGGGAGGGGCUAGAGGAUUUCAUUUAGCGUGUGAUUGGUUUAUAAGAUAGAGAAGAAUGCAUAGUGAGAAAAAUGGGGAAUGACAGAGGAUAAAGGGUAGAUAAUGAAGGCUGUGAAGGAAGAUGCAACCUGGAGUGAGCCAAGAAAUCUUCCGAGAGAUGAUCCUGGAGAGAAACAAGGGGCUCCAAAGUGACACAGGCAAGAGAAAAGAAAGAAGUGGGAAAAAAAAAAAACUUCAUUUUGGCCAACCACAUCAUCUCAUAGCUUCCAGAGAAAGAGACCAUGGGAGGUCUCUGCCUUCCCAGGAUCAUCUACUACGAGGCUCCUCUGGUGAUUCUCCGGGCACGAAGAAAUCGUUGCCUCUCUUACGGGAUGCCUACACAGGCAUGAGGUCAAGACAGUUGUAUGGGUCUCUCAGACUGCAUAUAAGUCAUGAACUGAAUAACCAGACUUAUUCUUUGGCUGGAUUACACUUUCUCCUGGGAUACCAGAUUCAUUCCACUGAGGCCAUGGAAACAAAAAAAUGAAGAUUGAGACACUACAACAGAUGGCAGCCACCUUGUGACCUCCGACAUCAGCCUUCCUCAUACAUUUCCUCUGCCAAAGACUCUUUCGAAGUCCCCUGGAAGUUUUCAUUGCAAAAUCAAAAAGGGAUCAUUGUAGGAAAAGUAUAAAAGAUAGAUGAACAAACAAGACAAUAAAACCCACCAGGACAUGAACCCUCUUCACACCUCCUGGAAGAUCACAUCGAAGGCCCAGGACCAGCAGCCACGCUCCUCCUUGGUUGUCCAUCUAGCAGGGGGGACAUGAUGGAAGAACACAGAACUGAGUCCCCAGAGUGAUCACGUCUCCCCAGGUGACCCUAGGUAGAGACCCACAGGAAGCUCUACCCCCUUCUGUCUUUCAGUAUCAGAGAGCCUGAGCGAAGCUCCUGGAAGUGGGAGCCGGGCCACAGCAGCCACCCAGGCAACGGCGGAGGGAGGAGUGACAGCAGGACUCACCCUCCCCAGAACGACGAGGGCAGACGCUCACCUGUGCCCUCCAGGUUUAGACCCGGACCCAACCAUCUGGGCCGAUCCUGUCUCGAGAGAGGCCUGCACAGCUCCCUGCUCUGGUCACCAGCAGCAGGUGGCACAGACCACCCGGAAGCCCUCCUCGGCCAUCCCCUGUAGGGACAGCCCCUCACACUGCUCCCGCAAGGGCCACCAGAACUCUGGUGGGGAAAGUCACCAGGAUGCAAGGAAGUCAAUGAUUUGAACAAACGGAAUUUCUUUGUCCUUUGUAAAAGUCAACACAUGAUCUGUUACUGAUUGGGAUGUGAAAUAAAACUAAAAAUAACAGCACACUGAGUCUCCCGCAAGGCUCAGC